rnacentral:rRNA from 1 species
GUCUAUGGCCGUGCCACCCUGAACAAGCCCAAUGUCUGAUCUCGGAAGCUAAGCAGGGUCGGGCCUGGUUAGUAUUUGGAUAGAAGACCACCUAGGAAGACCAGGUGCUGUAGGCA